CAGCAACUCUAAGUUCGUUCUGUUAAAUCUGUGAGUCUGUUCCUCUUCAGUACGUUCAUUUGAGAUACUGUUAUCAUUUAUAUUUAAUGAGGAAAUUGAAGUUUAGACAGAUUAAAUAACUUGUCGAUGAGAUUAUAUAACGCAGCAUCCUCAUUUCGUAAAUGAGGGUUCUGAAGCCAGCAGGUGGUCAUUCAUCUCCCUGUGGUGCAUUGGAUUAUUCUUCAUUCUGCACUCUUUGUCAUGUGCAUUUGCAGAAGGAAGAUCAGAGGGAUGAUCGUCUGGAGGUGAUCACUGAUGAUGACAAAGAGGCUGAGGAAGCAGGGGAUGGCAGAGAUGGCUUCCAUGUUACAGUGUCACAUGGCUUUCUGAUUGCAACCGGCAGCCUGUCCAUACUCUAAAUACAUGACUCUGCAUCUACUGCCCAGAUGGUAGGAACUUCUCCAGGAUCAUUAAAGAUGGAAAUUCUAUACUCAAGUGAAAAGCAAGCCUCUGUUUAAAGUCAAGAG
rnacentral:lncRNA from 1 species